UUUUCAUCUGUACAGAAGCCUACAUUUAGUUUGGUAGAAAAUCAUAUUGAUAUUGCUGUUAUGUUCAAGAAAGAAGAGUUUGGUUUUUGUUUGACGAAGAGAGCUGGCACAUCUUUUUCAAAUUGGAGCUGCUUACAGGCUUAGACUCCUGGGGCAACACUCAUAGUACACAGUAGUAUUCAAUUUCCCUUCAUAUUUAUUUACACACAUUAUAACAUAUAAAUAUAAUUAGCUUUACACUCUUCCUGUUUUCUUCCUAUUCUGCUUUCUCUUUUUCUGUCUUAAAUUCUUUUUUUUUUUAUUGGAAGGGGAGGGGAGUUAUUUAUACUAAUGCAAUAUUAAUAUUAUUAAAUUCAUAUUUUCAACUAUUUCCCUUGUAAACAUUUUUUAUUUUUUUUAGUUUCGUUUUUUGUAAUAUUUUUGCUAAAUUAAAAAUUAAAUAAAACAUUUUUCUGUCUACAACAGAGAACACGUUGAUGCAUUUUCGGCUGUGGAUUUAACUUCUCAUGUGAAACUUCAACAUUAACUACCGUACUCCAAAUGAUCAGUAAUACAGUCACAGUCUGUGAACCAUGACUGUUGCGAGCCACACAGCAGUGCUUCCCGUAUUCCUCCACAGUGAUGUUGGCGCUUCUAAAGGUGGAGCCUUUUCCUGUGUGUGUGGCCAUGGCUUGUCGUGCCUGAUAAAGACUUUUGUCUGCUGCUGGACUACAGGCUGCACCAUGGUACCAGGAAAACGUGAGCACAGACUGGCUGAGGGACUGCAGCAGGACAGCCGUACGACCACACCUGCACUGAUGCCAGAGGAAGGGUUCACUGCUGUGGUCACUGACCUGGGAGAAUCUGGAGGGAACAAAGUAUCAGAUAAGAUGACUAGCUAUAUAACCUUAUGUACACAAAAUAAAUAAUUAUCAUUUAGUCACUAAAUGGAUCAGCCAAAGGCCCACUAAAUGUUCAAAAUUGCCUUUAAAAUUCUGUGAUUAUGUUCCAUAAAAUAAGAAAUUAACUUUUCAAUUAAGAAGUAAAAUUGUAAAAAAAGAGAUAUAACUAGAAGGUAAACAAGAAGUACCUUGCAGUGAACUACUAAUUAAACUAAUU